rnacentral:rRNA from 1 species
AUUGAACGUUGGCGGCAGGCCUAACACAUGCAAGUCGAACGAGUGGCGGACGGGUGAGUACUGUCUGGGAAACUGCCUGAUGGAGGGGGAUAACUACUGGAAUCGGUAGCUAAUACCGCAUACCAUCAGAUGUGCCCAGAUGGGAUUAGCUAGUUGGUGGGGUAACGGCUCACCAGGGCGACGAUCCCUAGCUGGUCUGCGAGGAUGCCCAGACACACUGGAGCUGUGACACGGUCCAGAGUCGGAAGGAGGUCAGCGGUGGGAAAUAUGGAACAGUUGGCGCAGGCCUGAUGCAGCCAGGCCGCGUGUAUGAAGAAGGCCUGCAGGUUGUAAAGUACUUUCAGCGGGGAGGCGUUGCCCGCAGAAGAAGCACCGGCUAACGCCGUGCCAGCAGCCGCGGUAAUUC